UAUUCGAGAACGUUUUUCUCACACGGAUUGCGUCGACACUGCGAUUUAAGUUUUCACUACGAGCCGGCGCGCCCGAAUCACUCGCGAAUCGAUCGCGAAUCGAAUAUUCAAAGUUGUCCGAUUGUUGUUUUUGCAGACAACAAACACAAUAUUUCUCGCAUUUCGCGCAAAAUAUUUUCGUUAUCUUCGCGACGCAAUCUCGGCCGCGUAAUUAAAAGACUGUUCUCAACUCUUGGAGUGAUUGUUUUUAACGCACUUUUAUUAGUGCUCCUGCAAUGCCGUUAUUAUUUUAAACGUUUUCAGUGCUGCCAACACUUAUAAUAGUUUUUACAGAAAUAAUCUAGUAAUUGAAGAAUAUAUUUUUGCGUUGAUGGUCCAAUCUUUUAAACACUUUCUUAUAUAUUUACGAUGAUUAUUAACAACUUUGUGGAAAAAUAGAAACAAUUAGAAACAAUUACAAAAUUAUAUAUAUUUUUAUCGCAAAAUAAUUAUUGUAUUUUCAAAUUAUGGGUAAAUAACAGACGGUAGACAGUAGGCGACAUCUGACAAGCAGCCAGUAUCCGUCGAUGUGCACUGGUCGAUAUAGAAGGAAUUCACGUCACACAUGCAACUGCGGAACUGCAAUACCGUCCGAAUAAAUCUAUCAACAGAGGGCUGCAAAAUCGGAUCGCUAUUUAAAAAAUUUUUUAAAUCUUUCUCAUCUCUUUUCAUUAUAAAAUGAAGCUUAGAGAAGUCAACGAAAACACUUUAAUUGCAUAACGUGCAAUUACCGAAUUACUGGACAACGCGAAAAAUCAAAUUUCCAGCAGAUAGAAAGAAAGGACAACAAUGCUUCAAGGUACAUUUGAUCUGACGUGCGUCUGAUGGAAAUGCAAUUGAGUUACCGAUGUCGGUAGCCACCGCCCGUCGACUUUGUUUUUCAACACGCUUCGGUAACGAGGCGAAUUCCAGCGCAAACUCGCUCGAAAGUUUCAGUACCUCCAGCUAAACGCUUGAAUUUCGAAGGAUGAUUUCUUUUGUCGCGCGAGUUAUUCCACGAGGAGAAGCGCUUAUCCAA